rnacentral:rRNA from 1 species
UACGUAGGGACCGAGCGUUGUCCGGAAUCAUUGGGCGUAAAGAGCGUGUAGGCGGCUCGGUAAGUCCGCUGUGAAAGUCCAGGGCUCAACCCUGGAAUGCCAGUGGAAACUGUCGAGCUAGAGUCCGGAAGAGGCGAGUGGAAUUCCUGGUGUAGCGGUGAAAUGCGCAGAUAUCAGGAGGAACACCAAUGGCGAAGGCAGCUCGCUGGGACGGUACUGACGCUGAGACGCGAAAGCGUGGGGAGCAAACAGG